rnacentral:rRNA from 1 species
AUUGAACGCUGGCGGCAUGCCUUACACAUGCAAGUCGAACGGUAACAGGUCUUCGGAUGCUGACGUGUGGCGAACGGGUGAGUAAUACAUCGGAACGUGCCCGAUCGUGGGGGAUAACGGAGCGAAAGCUUUGCUAAUACCGCAUACGAUCUACGGAUGAAAGCAGGGGACCGCAAGGCCUUGCGCGGACGGAGCGGCCGAUGGCAGAUUAGGUAGUUGGUGGGAUAAAAGCUUACCAAGCCGACGAUCUGUAGCUGGUCUGAGAGGACGACCAGCCACACUGGGACUGAGACACGGCCCAGACUCCUACGGGAGGCAGCAGUGGGGAAUUUUGGACAAUGGGCGAAAGCCUGAUCCAGCCAUGCCGCGUGCAGGAUGAAGGCC